UACGGGGGGGGCAAGCGUUGUUCGGAAUUACUGGGCGUAAAGGGCUCGUAGGCGGCCAACUAAGUCAGACGUGAAAUCCCUCGGCUUAACCGGGGAACUGCGUCUGAUACUGGAUGGCUUGAGUUUGGGAGAGGGAUGCGGAAUUCCAGGUGUAGCGGUGAAAUGCGUAGAUAUCUGGAGGAAUACCGGUGGCGAAGGCGGCAUCCUGGACCGGCAUUGACGCUGAGGAGCGAAAGCCAGGGGAGCAAACGGG
rnacentral:rRNA from 1 species